CCUACGGGAGGCAGCAGUAGGGAAUAUUGCUCAAUGGGGGAAACCCUGAAGCAGCAACGCCGCGUGGAGGAUGAAGGUUUUCGGAUUGUAAACUCCUUUUGUUAGAGAAGAUAAUGACGGUAUCUAACGAAUAAGCACCGGCUAACUCCGUGCCAGCAGCCGCGGUAAUACGGAGGGUGCAAGCGUUACUCGGAAUCACUGGGCGGAAAGAGCGCGUAGGUGGGAUAGCAAGUCCGAUGGGAAAUCCUAUGGUUUAAACCUAGAACCGCAUUUGAAACUGGUAUUCUAGAGUAUGGGAGAGGUAAGUGGAAUUCUUGGUGUAGGGGUAAAAUGCGUAGAGAUAAAGGAGAAUACCUAAUGCGAAGGCGGCCUGCUGGAACAAUAAUGACGCUGAUGGGCGAAAGCGUGGGGAGCAAACAGGAUUAGAUACCCCAGUAGUC
rnacentral:rRNA from 1 species